rnacentral:misc_RNA from 1 species
AACUUUUGGCAAUGGAUCACUUGGCUCUGGCAUCGAUGAAGAACGCAGCGAAAUGCGAUAAAUAAUAUGAAUUGCAGAAUUCAGCGAAUCAUCGAGUCUUUGAACGCACAUUGCGCCCUCUGGUAUUCCGGAGGGCAUGCCCGACCGAGCGUCACUCGCACCGCCCGAGCCCGCCUCUGACCAGAGGCCGGGCCCGGUGCUGGGGCUUCUCGCGGGGCGGUGCCACCAGGCACGCCCCGCGGCCCCGAAAUGCAGUGGCGGUCUCCCCGGACCCUCCCAGCGUAGUACAGCCCAAAAGGCUUCGCUCGGGGGGCCCCUGGGCCCAGGCCUGCCGCAACAGCGCGGGUGGGACACGUUCCCGCCCCCAACCCACACCAAGGUUGGCCUCGGGUCGGGCAAGAUUACCCGCUGAACUUAAGCAUAUCAAUAAGCGGAGGCU